ACCGGGAUUGCCUCAGUAACGGCGAGUGAAGCGGCAAGAGCUCAAAUUUGAAAGCUGGCCCCUCCGGGGUCCGCAUUGUAAUUUGCAGAGGAUGCUUCGGGCUCAGCCCCCGUCUAAGUGCCCUGGAACGGGCCGUCGGAGAGGGUGAGAAUCCCGUCUGGGACGGGGUGCCUGGGUCCAUGUGAAGCUCCUUCGACGAGUCGAGUUGUUUGGGAAUGCAGCUCUAAAUGGGUGGUAAAUUUCAUCUAAAGCUAAAUACUGGCCGGAGACCGAUAGCGCACAAGUAGAGUGAUCGAAAGAUGAAAAGCACUUUGAAAAGAGAGUUAAACAGCACGUGAAAUUGUUGAAAGGGAAGCGCUUGCGAUCAGACUCGCCUGCGGGGUUCAGCCGGCAUUCGUGCCGGUGUACUUCCCCGUGGGCGGGCCAGCGUCGGUUCGGGUGGCCGGUCAAAGGCCCCGGGAAUGUGUCGCCCUCCGGGGCGUCUUAUAGCCCGGGGUGCCAUGCGGCCUACCUGGACCGAGGAACGCGCUUCGGCUCGGACGCUGGCGUAAUGGUCGUAAGCGACCCGUCUUGAAACACGGACCAAGGAGUCUAACAUCUACGCGAGUGUUUGGGUGGCAAACCCAUACGCGCAGUGAAAGCGAACGGAGGUGGGAACCCUUCGGGGCGCACCAUCGACCGAUCCUGAUGUCUUCGGAUGGAUUUGAGUAAGAGCGUAGCUGUGGGGACCCGAAAGAUGGUGAACUAUGCCUGAAUAGGGCGAAGCCAGAGGAAACUCUGGUGGAGGCUCGCAGCGGUUCUGACGUGCAAAUCGAUCGUCAAAUUUGGGUAUAGGGGCGAAAGACUAAUCG
rnacentral:rRNA from 3 species